GAUGAACGCUGGCGGCGUGCCUAAUACAUGCAAGUCGAGCGAACAGACGAGGAGCUUGCUGCUCUGACGUUAGGGGCGGACGGGUGAGUAACACGUGGAUACCCUACCUAUAAGACUGGGAUAACCUCGGGAAACCGGAGCUAAUACCGGAUAAUAUAUUGAACCGCAUGGGGCAAUAGUGAGAGACGGCUUUGCGGUCAGUUAUAGAUGGAUCCGCGCCGCAUUAGCUAGUUGGUAAGGUCACGGGUUACCAAGGCGACGAUGCGUAGCCGACCGCAGAGACUGGUCGGCCACCCUGGAACUGGGACACCGUCCAGACUCCUGCGGUAGGCAGCAGUAGGGUAUCUUCCGCAGUGGGCGAGAACCUGACGGAGUAGCGCCGCGUGUGUUGUGGCGGUCUUCGGAUCGUAAAACUCUGUUACUGGGUAAGAACAAAUGUGUCAGUAACCAUGCACGGCUUGACGGUACCUAAUCAGAAAGCCACGGCUAACUACGUG
rnacentral:rRNA from 1 species